rnacentral:lncRNA from 1 species
GGGGAGCGAUGUCUGCGACGCACCGGAAGCGGCUCCGAGGAAGGCCUGUGGGAGUCUCGGAGACGUGUCUGUCUGUGAGGCGCUGGGUGCACGUCCCCAGGGCUCUGGGCUAGGAAGGCAGCGGCGAGGUGCCUCCCCACGUACCCCUCGCGGGCCCAGCCGAGCAACGAGAGGAGUCUGCAGGUCCCGAGGAGCGGCGACGGAGGGGGCGGCCGGGUCCGCAUCGAGAAGAUGAGCUCAGAGGUGGUGGAUUCGAAUCCCUACAGUGAGUCAGCCAUAUGGUGCUGCUCCUGUGCCUGCUGAGGACGUGUGUCCAGUUUCCUAUCACCCUUGCCUCUUAAUUAGUCCGCCUCGCUGUGUAUAAGACUGAUAGUAAGAACUUUCAGAAGAUGAGAUCAAAUAUUAAACCUGCUAAGCCGCUUGAUGGCAUUGAAACGAAUGGGAAUUGUAAGCGACUAUGAGAAAAUCCGUACCUUUGCCGUAGCAAUAGUAGGUGUUGGUGGAGUAGGUAGUGUGACUGCUGAAAUGCUGACAAGAUGUGGCAUUGGUAAGUUGCUACUCUUUGAUUAUGACAAGGUGGAACUAGCCAAUAUGAAUAGACUUUUCUUCCAACCUCAUCAAGCAGGAUUAAGUAAAGUUCAAGCAGCAGAACAUACUCUGAG